rnacentral:rRNA from 1 species
GACGAACGCUGGCGGCGCGCUUAACACAUGCAAGUCGAGCGAGAACCAGUCCUUCGGGACUGGGGAAAGCGGCGAACGGGUGAGUAACACGUGGGUAAUCUGCCCUCGGCACUGGGAUAGCCCGGGGAAGCCCGGAUUAAUACCGGAUAGCCUUUCGAGCCUUCGGGCUCGUCAGAAAAGGUGGCUUCGGCUUCCGGCUGAGGAUGAGCCCGCGGCGGAUUAGCUUGUUGGUGGGGUAAUGGCCUACCAAGGCGACGAUCCGUAGCUGGUCUGAGAGGACGAUCAGCCACACUGGGACUGAGACACGGCCCAGACUCCGACGGGAGGCAGCAGUGGGGAAUCUUGCGCAAUGGGCGAAAGCCUGACGCAGCGACGCCGCGUGCGGGAAGAAGGCCUUCGGGUUGUAAACCGCUUUCAGGAGGGACGAAGCCACUCGGGUUAAUAGCCCAGAGGGUGACGGUACCUCCAGAAGAAGCCCCGGCUAACUACGUGCCAGCCGCCGCGGUAA